rnacentral:lncRNA from 1 species
UUUAUUGUGCUCUAAACAAACAAACAAAGGGGGACAAUCACAUCGAGUAUAUGAGUCGAAUUCAUAGUUAAACAAGAAGAAAUGCAAUGGAAAAUUCACAAGGUCAGAAUGAGCAAGUCCCUCAAAUCAUACCAAGUUACAUUGGAGUAGGAGAUGUUCCCACUACUCGUACUAAGAGGUAUAGGAUAUUUUCUCCUCAUGUCCAAACCAACAACUUCACAAUCAAGAGGAGUUUGAUCUCUAUGGUUCAGAGCAAUAGAUUCAUGGCCUGCUUUUGGAAGACCCCUUAGGCCAUGUGCAGCGGCGUGUUUUGUAAUCGUUCCACACAUUUAAAAAAAAAAAAAAAAAGCAAGGACGUUGGUAAAAUCGCGACGUCCCUUGCCUUGCUUUUCAACUAUUUGCGGGCCCCACUGACAUGUGUGGCCCGCUAUUGGUUGUAUUUAUUUUUUUUUUUUUCUUUUUUUUCUUAAAUCUAAAUUUUUUUUAAAAAUCAUAUAUAUAAAAGUAAGUUUUAACUCUCUUCUUAUUGGUGGAAAAACAUUUAAGCCCUUUAUUUAAA